rnacentral:rRNA from 1 species
UAGUCAGUAGGAGUAGACCCGAAACCGGGUGAUCUAUCCAUGUCCAGGUUGAAGAUGCCGUAAAAGGCGUUGGAGGACCGAACCCACAUCCGUUGAAAAGGGUGGGGAUGAGGUGUGGAUAGGGGAGAAAUUCCAAUCGAACCCGGAGAUAGCUGGUUCUCCUCGAAAUAGCUUUAGGGCUAGCCUCGUUUUAGUCUUGUGGAGGUAGAGCACUGAAUUUCCGCGGGGGCGUCAAAGCUUACCAAAGAAUAUCAAACUCCGAAUGCCAUUAAGAUGAUGAACGGGAGUCAGACUGUACGAGAUAAGUUGGACAGUCAAAAGGGAAAGAGCCCAGACCACCAGCUAAGGUCCCAAAGUGUGUGUUAAGUGGAAAAGGAUGUGGGGAUUCAAAGACAACUAGGAUGUUGGCUCAGAAGCAGCCAUUCAUUCAAAGAGUGCGUAACAGCUCACUAGUCGAGAGUCCCUGCGCCGAAAAUGUCCGGGGCUGAAACACAACACCGAAGCUGUGGAAUCAUACCUAGUAUGAUUGGUAGAGGAGCAUUCUUAAGACCGACGAAGCUGUACCGAUAAGGAGCAGUGGAGGGAUAAGAAGAGAGAAUGCCGGAAUGAGUAGCGAGAGGAAGGUGAGAAUCCUUCCGGCCGAAUAUCCAAGGAUUCCAGGGUAAAGCUGAUCUGCCUGGGUAAGUCGGGACCUAAGGAGAGGCCGAGAGGCGUAUCCGAUGGACAACAGGUUUAGAUUCCUGUACCACAUAUGGUCAGAACUGUGGGGACGCAGAAGGAAAGCAUGAGCCAGGAAUGGAAAUACUGGUACAAGCAGAGGGGAUGGUGUGCUGGCAAAUCCGCACACAAAAGUCCUUGCUGUGAUGUGGAGCGAACUAGAGUAGCGAAGCAUGCGGACCGGCUGCCGAGAAAAGCCGCUAUUGUGCCAUAUGUGCCCGUACCGUAAACCGACACAGGUGGAUGAGGAGAGAAUCCUAAGGCCGACGGAAGAAGUAUUGUUAAGGAACUCGGCAAAAUGACCCCGUAACUUCGGGAGAAGGGGUGCCUGAGAAAUCAGGCCGCAGAGAAUAGGCUCAAGCAACUGUUUAGCAAAAACACAGGUCUAUGCAAAACCGAAAGGUGAAGUAUAUGCUGACGCCUGCCCGGUGCUGGAAGGUUAAGAGGAGAGGUUAGCGCAAGCGAAGCUUUGAAUUUAAGCCCCAGUAAACGGCGGCCGUAACUAUAACGGUCCUAAGGUAGCGAAAUUCCUUGUCGGGUAAGUUCCGACCCGCACGAAAGGCGUAAUGAUUUGAGCACUGUCUCGACAAUACAUCCGGUGAAAUUGAAGUACCAGUGAAGAUGCUGGUUACCCGCGCCAGGACGGAAAGACCCCAUGGAGCUUUACUCCAGUUUGGUACUGGGAUUCGGUACUGCAUGUACAGGAUAGGUGGGAGACGAAGAAGUUAGGACGCCAGUCUUAACAGAGUCGCUGUUGGGAUACCACCCUUGCAGUAUUGGGUUUCUAACCAGCCGCUGUGAACCAGCGGUGGGACAAUGCCAGGCGGGGAGUUUGACUGGGGCGGUCGCCUCCGAAAGGGUAUCGGAGGCGCUCAAAGGUUCCCUCAGAAUGGUCGGAAACCAUUUAAAGAGUGCAAAGGCAGAAGGGAGCUUGACUGCGACACCGACGGGUGGAGCAGGUACGAAAGUAGGACUUAGUGAUCCGGUGGCAUAAAGUGGGAUUGCCAUCGCUCAACGGAUAAAAGCUACCCUGGGGAUAACAGGCUUAUCACUCCCAAGAGUUCACAUCGACGGAGUGGUUUGGCACCUCGAUGUCGGCUCAUCGCAUCCUGGGGCUGUAGCAGGUCCCAAGGGUUGGGCUGUUCGCCCAUUAAAGCGGUACGCGAGCUGGGUUCAGAACGUCGUGAGACAGUUCGGUCCCUAUCCGGCGCGGGCGUAGGAUAUCUGAGGGGAGCUGGCCUUAGUACGAGAGGACCGGGCUGGACGGACCACUGGUGCAUCAGCUGGAUACCAAAUCCAUAGCUGGGUAGCCAAGUCCGGAAGGGAUAAACGCUGAAGGCAUCUAAGCGUGAAGCCCCCCCCAAGAUGAGAUGUCCCUGUCUAUAAGACAGUAAGACCCCUGAAAGAGUAUCAGGUAGAUAGGGCAGAGGUGGAAGCACGGUAACGUGUGGAGCUGACUGUUACUAAUCGGUCGAGGGCUUGACCAAA